GCCGCUCGGCGGUGGCCGCCCGGGGUCCACGGGCGGCGGGGCUCUCGCGCGCUGUCGUGGGGCGGCGCCCCCGGAACGGCAGAGGUCAGGGUCUGCAGGGCGCCCGGGAAGAGGAGAGCCCUGGAGGCUGCAGAGGGAGGCUCCCCGGAACCCCAGCAUCCCGUUUUCAUGAAACCUCCUGCCCACUAAAAUAGUUGUCCGCCCUCCCUGCCUCGAGCUGGGUAGAAGCCACGCUCGGGCGCACGCCCCACCUGUGCAGCAAAAAGGAACAGCAGGACCUGCCACACGAGAAUGUGGGAUGGAGCGACGUGCCAAACCCUACUGAAGCCAGGGGCGGCCCCAGCGCUUCACCUGAACGGCCUUGCAUGUCACCCUGUGGCUCUCAAGGGACCUGUGACUGAGAUGAAACUGAGACACUCUGCUUUCUCUCUUCUGAUUUACAUCUGGCCUCGCCAUGCCUCAGCCUAGGCAAUAUAUUUACAACGCAGGGGAACGGCCGGCCACUCCCUGUGGACUUGGAGAAUCAGAUACAGCAGACAGAGUCGGCAAGGAGAAGACCAGACUGGGCAUCUCGGGAGGACACCAGCCCAAGCCCAGUGUGGGCGGAGCACUGGCAACUAACAGUGGCCUGAACCUCGAUGUUCCUCAGGGUCCUGGAGAGGUUCUUCGAAGAUUACAAACUAGGAUCUGACCAUUCUACAUCCUCCCUAAUUUUAUGGACAAUGCAGGGAGCCAGGAUUCUCCACCUGCGCCUGUUUCCGGCGAGAGCAGCGGUCCGUGCCGCCUACGCACGCCAACCUUAAAGCACCGAUGGGGAGGAACUUGCCCCAGUGGCAGGAGGGUCCUGGUGGGGAUCUGAGAGGUCUACCGCUGCGGGACAGGCAGAAUAGCCGUGGGGCUGGAAUGGACAGCGAGGUGAGGGCGGGGCUAGGCCAGCUCCUCCCAGGCGGGCGUGCCCUGGCGAUGGCUUCGAAGGAGUCCAAGAAUUCCAACUUCCACCCUGGAUUCCGGCCAUUCUGAAGCAGCAGAUGGAGGGGUCAGAGAUCAAAGCACUUGUAAUGUUCAGAGAGAAAGUGCCAAGUUGCUUGCUGUAGAGAUUCCAGCGAUUCAUACUCCCACCGGAAAUAUACCAGCAGCCACCCACAGAGAGGUGAGAAGAGAGCAAAGGCUCAGCACUGGGCACACAAAGCCGCCGCGCGAGGUAGCACCUGCCUGUGGUCUCAGCUGCUGGGGAACUGGAGGCAAGAGGAUUGCUUGAGCCAGGAGUUCAAGCCAGCUUGAGCAACGUUCAAGACCCUGCACUAAAAAGCAGAAGCUAAAGAAAUAGUUACUAAUAAAAUGUUUGCAUGAGAGCUAUCAGGGCCGGUGAUUGAGCUCAGUGGUUCCGUUGCCUGCCUCCCAAGCACAGGGACCCGAGUUUGAUCCCCAGUACCAAAAAAGAGUUAUCAGAGCUGGGACACUAUUUUAGGGCAAAUUUAUAGUUUGGAUUUGUGAUAGCUGUGUGGCAUUUUCAUGGGUUAUAAUGCACCUUUUUUUUUUUUUUUUUUUGCUACCAGGGAUCAAACUCGGGACUUUGGGCUUGCAAGGCAGGCACCAGAACCACUGAGCUCAAUCCCUGGCCCAAUAAUGCACCUUUUGAUCAGUCCACUUGGGUCCAUAAGAUCAUAAUAUUGCCCAUUUCCAGCCAUUUUAUACUAUUUGGAACAAAACUGUGCUGCCUGAAGCUCUAGAAGUUUACAGGUGUCAUGGCUGUUUUCCGAAUCACAUUCUUGGUCAAGCACACAAUUCGUUACUGUGACUUUAUGGAAGCAUUUCUCACAUUGUGCUUGGCUUUCUUUUGGGACUUCCAAGAAGUUAGUAUGGAAAAAGGCAGAGGUGAUCUUCUGCAGCCCUUGCCCUUCGUGUCGUCACUUUUCCACAGGAAGGACAGUAACCAGAGAAGAGCCUCCCUUGUGCAGAGGGCCGUGGAAGUGGGCUCAGCGGUGUCUUCCUUUGUGUUCUGUCCCUUCUGGACUCAUGGACAUGUGUCUUUUUUUUUUUUUUUUUGUACCAGGGAUCGAACUUGGGUCCUCGCACUUGUGCAACAGGCAGUGAAACCACUAAGCUAAAUCCCUGGCCCUGGGCAUGUGUGUCUUUAAGAAUCUUUUUAUUUUUUCCCCCAAAACAACUCAUGUUCUUUUUCCUCCUAUUCCUAAAAGAAACUAAACCAGAGCAACAGAUCCCAGGAGGAAAAGGUUUCUAGCAAUGGAGGCCAUAGCUUCAAAAAUAAAUAAAGGGAGAAUUGUGGAAACACAGAAGUCUUGGGCCACAGAUUGUAUCCGUGACAACAUGGUCCCCAGGGACCUGUGCGACAGUGAGUGUUUACAGCGGUGACCUUAAAUCUUCCAGCGAAGUCUGCUUGACAUUCAGCAUAUUUUCAGAAGGCAAUGAAGCGUGCUGUUUACCUCAGCCAAACUUUCCUCCAUGCUAAAAAAUAAAGUUUUGGUGCUUGUACAAGGCAAGUUUAAUUCA